UACGUAGGGUGCGAGCGUUAAUCGGAAUUACUGGGCGUAAAGCGUGCGCAGGCGGUUCGUUAAGUCAGAUGUGAAAGCCCCGGGCUCAACCUGGGAACUGCAUUUGAAACUGGCGGGCUUGAGUGUGGCAGAGGGGGGUGGAAUUCCGCGUGUAGCAGUGAAAUGCGUAGAGAUGCGGAGGAACACCAAUGGCGAAGGCAGCUCGCUGGGACGUGACUGACGCUGAGACGCGAAAGCGUGGGGAGCAAACAGG
rnacentral:rRNA from 1 species